AAGGGGUCGGCCCUGCCCGGUGGCGAGAGCUAAACGGUCGCAGUGAGUAACUGUGUUAAUGUAGCGCAAUCACUCGUCCCUUAAUUGGGGAAAUGGAUGAAUGGGUUGACGUUAGAGAAGCUGUCUCUAUCAUAUAAACAAAAUUAUCUUUAUAGUGAACAGGCUAUGGUGCAAUCAAAAGACGAGAAGACCCUGUCGAGCUUGGAUAAUUAUUCGUGCGUAUAGCAGGGUAGCAAGGUUUACUGGGGCAGUAGGGAGGUAAAUAGAAUCCUUUCUUAUUUGGAAAGAUCUCCUAUAUAGGAAUCACGUGAAAAAGCUACCGCAGGGAUAACAGCGUAAUCCCUCUGAUGAGGACAUAUCGAUGGGGGGGUUUGCGACCUCGAUGUUGGAUUUGGGUUCCUGUCUUGGCGCAGAGGCUAGAUAAGUGGGUCUGUUCGACC
rnacentral:rRNA from 1 species